AGGUAAAAUUUGGUUAAUAGAAGCAUUGUCAGGGUGAUUUUUACUCUGUAUAGCAUUACUAUUUGGUAGACUAAAUUGGAGGUUCAUUUAAGCAUAAAAAAAGAAUAGAAUGAAGCAAAUAUGAAAUGCGUUGUUUUGCUAGGAAGGUGGUAUUAUCAUAAACUUGGAUAUGUCACUCUGUUUUAUUGUUUAGGCGGAUGGAAGUUUGUGCUUUCAAUAAAGUAAGUUGAUGAAAAGAAGUGUUUAACUAACCAGUGAGAAGGAAAGGACCUUUUGUCUAUAGCAUUAGAACACAGACUAAACUUUUUGCCUUAGCCAACAAAUGAUGUGGUAAAACAAAUUUACAUUAGGAAACUAGAAAACUUAAAGCGCCUAAGAUGCUAUAGUUCCUGUGCAUUCCCAGAUAUUUCAAAAGAACAAUUACAAGCAGAGCUACACCAAAACAGAAACCCGAUUAACUUCGGCUAAUAAUAUAGAUUGAAGAGGGGAAAACAUACCGUACUGAGUCCUGUUGUAGUACCUUGACAUAUUAAGGUCUGAUUUGAAGCUCUAAACUACACAUCCGACUAUUACAACUCCUAAACCACCCCUCUUCCCAUUCCCCUUUUUUAAUAUGAAGAAGAGUUGUAUAAUUUCUAAACUAAAAUGAACAUAAAGAACAAUCAGAGUAAACACAUUGGGGAAAUUAAGCACUUGCAAGUUUGUGUACUUGAUCAGCAAAUAUUUGAGUAUAUGAAACUAAAAGCAAUUACAUUGCAUGAGCUGAUACGUAUGAUCAUAGAGCAGAAUUUUCUGUACUUGUAUGACCCAAAUUGGAAAAAUCAUCAUACAAUAAGCUUAUUUUGUUGAUUUUUAGGGCAGUUGAGGCUUUUUUUCACUUGCAAGGAGGAAAGAAUCUUUUGCUUUGGUUAUUCAAAGGGGACAUUCCCAUAUUUCAUGGUCUUGUAUAGCAGAGUUUCUGCAAUUACUAACUAGAUCUUUUCAAUGAGAACUACAUUUCUCCCAUCUUUUUUUCUUUUUUAAGUCUUGAUCAUAAGAACUUUGCCUAGGAUAGACACUAUGUUGAAGAAUCCUACAACAUCAUACCUUACAUAAAGAGGCUACAAUAUCAUACCAUGUUUAUGAGAAAAUAGCCAAAAGCCCCCUAAUCUAUAUCCAAAUUUUUAACUACACACCUUAAUUUUAUGGGAGUCCUAUUACACCCCCCCGAACUAUUUAAAACUGAAAUAAUUACACCCUUAAAAAGCCACAACCACAUCUAUGUUGACCAGUGAAUUGCACGCAUUUGGCAUGUGGAAAUUUGAUUAAUUUAUUUUUUAAAAGUUUUUUUAAAUAAUUUUUCCCCUUUCUCCUAUAUUUCCCCCAUUUAUUCAAAUCCCUAAAGUAAUUGCACCAUUAAUGUAAACAUCAACGUCCAUCGGAGUUGGCUUGUGAGGAACAAAGAUGAAUAGUGAUGGUAGAGCUCGUCGUGCGAUAUUCAAGCUUUGCUCGCCAGAGAACCUGAACGACAAACUAAAAAAAAGUGAGGGAGAAGGAAAGAGAGAGGACGAAUGGAGGAGUGGGAUUGCCAUUAAUGGAGGUCAACUGAGACGAGUACUCCUCUUAGGGAAGAUGAGGAAGAGCCGAUGAUGCAUUUCAUGUCAUUGUCAGCGGCGUCAAAUUUGAAGAGAAAAAAGUUAUUCACCAUCGAUUGAACAAUUAAUGAGAUUGAUAACAUGUGGAUCCUGAGAUGUAGUUGAUUGAUUGAGAUUUGAGAAAAGAAAAAAAUUCUCUUUUGGGGUUCAAUUGGAUUUGAUGUAAACCCAAUUUGAUUUUUUUCAAAUCUGAUCAAAUCCUUCUAGGGUGAUAUAAAUACAUGUCAUUUUAUCUAUAAUUGAUUUGAUUGAUUUUACAAGCUUUUUACACGAGAGUUUAAAAACUCGUGUGAAAUCAACAACGGUGAAGAUGGUGGUGACAGUGGCGAUUUAGAGAUGGUGAAUGGUGAAGGAAUUUGGUCUUUGUUGCUAUGAAGAAGAAAGACAAUAAAUUAAAAAUAAUAAUUAAAAUACAUAUAUUUAUGAAAAGAGAUAUUGAAAAUAAAGUUUUAAUAUUUGUUUUUUUUUUGCUCACUCUGAAAUACACUCACCUUGCCAGCUAAGCAUUUAGGGAGAUAACAAUUUUAGUUUUAAACACUCUAGGAGGGUAAUAGGACUCCCGUGAAGUUAGAGUUGUAGUUGGAAAUCCGGAUAUAGGUUAGGGGGGCUUUUGGAUAUUUUCUCCCAUUUUUAUCCUAGGUUUUGAGGCAGAGACCUAGCCUUAGAAUUGGCAAAGUGUGGCCUCUGCAUCAUCGGCUGUGCUUUUUCAGGACAAACUCAAUGCCCUUGCCCUUGUGUUGGAAAUGUCAUUGACCUUCAUUGAUAAUCUUAUUUUUUCUUCUGGCACUUUGGAAGUUUGGGAUUAUGAUGCAGUUGUAUAUAUGGAAACAGACAGAGUGUUGUUGAUGUAGAUGAGUACAAUAAAAUGAAGAAAGUUGACCCAGAAUUUUAUUGAGAAGCUUCUAGUCUCCAGUAUAGGAAGGAUGAUUAUGUUCCAUAUCAUUCUUCAAGAAUUGCCAAGCAUCUUCAGGGACAACUCAAAAAAGGGGAAAGUAUUUAGAGAGAUGCUGAAUGAUUGCUUGGACCUAAUACGUUCUCAGUCAUAUUCUAAACAUCGAGUGUUCGUGAGGUGUAAUGUCAACUUUGACACAACAUUGCAAGGAAGGAAUUGAAAGGGUGUCAUAUAGAGUUCAUGGAGUCGGACACAUUUGUCCAAAUCAUAAUGUGGUCAUUUGCUAGUUGUUUACAUGACUUGUGGGUUGAUCAAUUUCUUCAUUGCAACAACACUCUCAUCUUCUGGAGCCUGCCUACUGCUCGAACCUUAAAUUUUAUGCCUAAAAUGACGACGACUCUAGGAUGCCAAGGCCUCGACACACUCCGUGACCAUGAAUAUGCCUGUUGUGGUAAGUCAUUUGUUGCAAGCUGGUUUUGGUGUAGCUACUCAACCUAGAUGUGUUAUAACUCAAAAGCUUAGUUACAAUGAUACAUAAGGACGGAAAGGUAACGACUAGUCUGCGUUUAGUGGAGAUCACAAUAUUUUUGGACUUUGAAUUCCUAAUAUCAGUAGAUUGUGCAGUAAAUUGAAUUAUCGGGUACAAUGAAGAUCAGCUGUAACUUUAGUUUUAAUUUUAUCUAAGUAGACUCUGGGCACGACUAUAUUACCUGCCUUUAUUGGAAUCUAUUUGUAUGUGUUCAAAUGCUAGUAUGAAUGUAUAUCUUAAUUUAUC